GAUGAACGCUAGCUACAGGCUUAACACAUGCAAGUCGAGGGGCAGCAUGAACUUAGCUUGCUAAGUUUGAUGGCGACCGGCGCACGGGUGAGUAACACGUAUCCAACCUUCCGUUUACUCAGGGAUAGCCUUUCGAAAGAAAGAUUAAUACCUGAUAGUAUGGUGAGAUUGCAUGAUAACACCAUUAAAGAUUUAUUGGUAAACGAUGGGGAUGCGUUCCAUUAGGUAGUAGGCGGGGUAACGGCCCACCUAGCCUGCGAUGGAUAGGGGUUCUGAGAGGAAGGUCCCCCACAUUGGAACUGAGACACGGUCCAAACUCCUACGGGAGGCAGCAGUGAGGAAUAUUGGUCAAUGGGCGAGAGCCUGAACCAGCCAAGUAGCGUGAAGGAUGAAGGUCCUACGGAUUGUAAACUUCUUUUAUACGGGAAUAAAGUUUCCUACGUGUAGGAUUUUGUAUGUACCGUAUGAAUAAGCAUCGGCUAACUCCGUGCCAGCAGCCGCGGU
rnacentral:rRNA from 1 species